GGCCUUGUAGUCUAGUGGUAAAACGUGCCCUUGACGUGGGCGAGUCCGCAGUUCGAUCCUGCGCAGGGCCA
rnacentral:tRNA from 1 species